GGCUCCAUAGUAUAGUGGUUUGCACAUCUGCUUUACACACAGAAGGUCCUGGGUUCAUGCCCCAGGUGGAGCCA
rnacentral:tRNA from 1 species